rnacentral:misc_RNA from 1 species
CCCUGCACGAUCGUCCUUCCAACCGCUCUCUACUUUCUCUCUCCUCGCCGAGCAGUCUUCCAACUCACCCGCUCCGCCCCCUCCACUCAUCAUUUAAUGAAGUCCAUACAAAAGCCAUGAUUCUUACCAACUUUCUGCAGUGGCUGACCAUGGCGGUUUCAGCUUUUUCUGCAGCUCCCUCGCCUCCCCCGCCAUAGCUUUCUGGGUUUUUGUCCUUUCCUCCGAAACCGCCUUCAAAAACCCAUCUUGACUCGGUUUCACCCCAUUCCAUGCAUGGACGGG